rnacentral:rRNA from 1 species
GUGCCAGCAGCCGCGGUAAUACGUAGGGUGCAAGCGUUAAUCGGAAUUACUGGGCGUAAAGCGUGCGCAGGCGGUUUUGUAAGACAGUGGUGAAAUCCCCGGGCUCAACCUGGGAACUGCCAUUGUGACUGCAAGGCUAGAGUGCGGCAGAGGGGGAUGGAAUUCCGCGUGUAGCAGUGAAAUGCGUAGAUAUGCGGAGGAACACCGAUGGCGAAGGCAAUCCCCUGGGCCUGCACUGACGCUCAUGCACGAAAGCGUGGGGAGCAAACAGGAUUAGAUA